CCUACGGGGCGCAGCAGUCGAGAAUCAUUCACAAUGGGGGAAACCCUGAUGGUGCGACGCCGCGUGGGGGAAUGAAGUUCUUCGGAUUGUAAACCCCUGUCAUGUGGGAGCAAAUUAUAAAGAUAGUACCACAAUAGGCAGAGACUGCUAACUCUGUGCCAGCAGCCGCGGUAAUAAGGAGGUCUCAAGCGUUGUUCGUAAUCACUGGGCGUAAAGCGGGCGUAGGCUGUUUCGUAAGUCGUGUGUGAAAGGCGCGGGCUCAACCCGCGGAAGGCACAUGAUACUGCGAGACUAGAGUGAGGGAGGGGGAACCGGAAUUCUUGGUGUAGCAGUGAAAUGCGUAGAUAUCGGGAGGAACACUCGUGGCGAAGGCGGGUUCCUGGACAGUAACUGACGCUGAGGCACGAAGGCCAGGGGAGCGAAAGGGAUUAGAUACCCGAGUAGUC
rnacentral:rRNA from 1 species